AUUGAACGCUGGCGGCAUGCCUUACACUUGCAAGUCGAACGGCAGCGGGGGAGAAGCUUGCUUUUCCUGGUGGCGAGUGGCGAACGGGUGAGUAAAGUAUCGGAACGUGCCCAGUCGUGGGGGAUAACGUAGCGAAAGUUACGCUAAUACCGCAUACGAUCUAUGGAUGAAAGCGGGGGAUCGCAAGACCUCGCGCGAUUGGAGCGGCCGAUAUCAGAUUAGGUAGUUGGUGGGGUAAAGGCUCACCAAGCCGACGAUCUGUAGCUGGUCUGAGAGGACGACCAGCCACACUGGGACUGGGACACGGCCCAGACUCCUACGGGAGGCAGCAGUGGGGAAUUUUGGACAAUGGGCGAAAGCCUGAUCCAGCCAUGCCGCGUGCAGGAUGAAGGCCUUCGGGUUGUAAACUGCUUUUGUACGGAACGAAAAGGUUUGGCCUAAUAAGCUGAGCUCAUGACGGUACCGUAAGAAUAAGCACCGGCUAACUACGUGCCAGCCGCCGCAGUAA
rnacentral:rRNA from 1 species